rnacentral:pre_miRNA from 1 species
GGUCAUGCUUUUCCACAGCUUUCUUGAACUUUUUUAUGCUAGCUAUAUCUCUCUAGAUAUAGAACCAAAGAAGCUCAAGAAAGCUGUGGGACAACAUGGCAA